UAAAUAAAGUGAGUUUGAUCCUAGCUCAGAGUGAAGGCUAUAAGUCUGCUUUAAUACAUGCGAGUUGAAUGGUUAAAACCAUAGCGUACGGGUGAGUAAAAAGCCGCUAUCUACCCCUAACUUUGGGAUAAUUCUAUCUCUGAGGAGAGAAGGUCACAGAAAAAUACCAAAUAUUAAAAAGGUACGCCGGUUAGGGAUGAUUAGGUUUAGUAUUAGGUAAUCGGCAAAUUCAGUUUUGCCGAGCCGAAGAUGCUUAGUUGGUCUGGAAGGACGAUCAACCACAUUGGGACUGAGACAAGGCCCAGGUUUCAUUUGAAGGCAGCAGUAAGGAAUAUUGGACAAUGAGCGAAAGCUUGAUCCAGCAAGACUUGGUGAAGGAUUGAAGGCUUAGGUUGUAAACUUCUUUUUUAAUUGAGGAUAAUGACAUUAAAUUAAGAAUAAGUCCCGACUAACUUCGUGCCAGCAGUCGCGGUAAUACGAAGGGGGCUAGCCUUAUUCGCCAUAACUGGGCGUAAAGGGUCCGUAGGUUGCUCUCUGUAAAGUUAUUUGUCAAAUACUUUAGCUUAACUAUAGAAAGGCAUUUAAAACAGGAGAGCUAGAGUCUGGUAGAAGAAAAUAGAAUUUUUCAAUGAGGGGUAGAAUCCAUAGAAGUGAAAAAGAAUAUCGUGUGCGAAGGCAAUUUUCUGGUCCAGUACUGACGCUGAGGGACGAAGGCGUAGGUAGCGAACAGGAUUUGAGACCCUGGUAGUCUACGCUGUCAACGAUGGAUGCUAGUUUUUAAAAAUUUUAGAGGCUAUAGCUAAGGCAUUAAGCAUCCCGCCUGAGGAGUACGAGCGCAAGCUUAAAAAUCAACGGAAUUGGCGGGGGUUCAAACAAGUGGUGGAGCAUGUGGUUUAAUGCGAUAAUACGCGCGUAACCUUACCAGUUCUAGUAAGUCUGUCAUUCUUACGGAGACGUAUUGAAUUUUGGGAUUUUCAGGUGUUGCAUGGCUGUCGUCAGCUCGUGUCGUGAGAUGUACGGUUAAUUCCUGUAACUGAGCGUAACCCCUAUUUAUUUUAGGUUUUUCUUUUUGAAACUGAAUAAAUACUGCCAGCCACAAGCAGGAGGAAGGUGGGGAUGAGGUCAAGUCCUCAUGGCCCUUAUGAACUGGGCUACACACGUGCUACAAUGGGAAGAACAAUAAGUUGCAAGGAUUUAAAUCGGAGCUAAUCUUUAAAUCUUUUCCUAGUUCGGAUUGAGGGCUGCAACUCGCCCUCAUGAAGUUGGAAUCACUAGUAAUCGCGGAUCAGGAUGCCGCGGUGAAUAUGUCACUGGGCCUUGCACACACCGCCCGUCACGUCCUGGAAGUUUAUUUGGCCAGAAGAUUUUGGAACAAACCUUUUUUUAAGGUGUUAUAAAAAAAAAUAUAUUUUUUCGAAGAUCUUAAAAAAAGGAUGUUUCUUUUAAAGGACAGAUAAAUAACUGGGAUGAAGUCGUAACAAGGUAGUCGUAGGGGAACCUGCGGCUGGAAUAUAAAUAUA
rnacentral:rRNA from 1 species